rnacentral:rRNA from 1 species
UACGUAGGGUGCAAGCGUUAAUCGGAAUUACUGGGCGUAAAGCGUGCGCAGGCGGUUGUGUAAGACAGAUGUGAAAUCCCCGGGCUCAACCUGGGAACUGCAUUUGUGACUGCACAGCUGGAGUGCGGCAGAGGGGGAUGGAAUUCCGCGUGUAGCAGUGAAAUGCGUAGAUAUGCGGAGGAACACCGAUGGCGAAGGCAAUCCCCUGGGCCUGCACUGACGCUCAUGCACGAAAGCGUGGGGGAGCAAACAGG